rnacentral:rRNA from 1 species
UACGGGGGGGCAAGCGUUGUUCGGAAUUACUGGCGUAAAGGGCGCGUAGGCGGCCAGCACAAGUCAGUUGUGAAAUCUCCGAGCUUAACCGUCGGAACGGUCAACUGAUACUGUGCGGCUAGAGUGCAGAGGGGGCAACUGGAAUUCUUGGUGUAGCGGUGAAAUGCGUAGAUAGUCAAGAGGAACACCUGCGGCGAAGGCGGGUUGCUGGGCGUGACAC